GGGGAUAUAGCUCAAUGGUAGAGCAGUUGCCUGGCAUGCAGUAGACCCUGGGUUUAAUCCCCAGCACCA
rnacentral:tRNA from 1 species